AAGUAAACUUUAUAUAUCAUCCAGAUGAUACAAAUGUAAAAUACAAUAUAAUAUGGUCACCGAUAACAAGAGAAAAUAACACCAGAGAUCGAGUUCGAAAGCUGACGUUGAACAAAACAGCUAUGUUUACCGAAUGUCUGUCACCUAUAACCACUUAUUCAUCGGCCGCUACUACACCUUGUAUUUCUGAUUUUUAUCGUAUUUAUUUCUGGUCAUCCGUCGUUACGAUUCCUGUUUUGAUAGUGGUUUCUACAGCUAUCUGUGUAUACUUGUUCAAAAAUCAUGGAUUAAAAAGAACUAAUAAAGAACCUAGCUCAAGG